GUGGGGAAUAUUGCACAAUGGGGGAAACCCUGAUGCAGCGACGCCGCGUGGAGGAUGACGGCCUUCGGGUUGUAAACUCCUUUUGUCAGGGACAAUGGUGAUGGUACCUGACGAAUAAGCCACGGCUAACUCUGUGCCAGCAGCCGCGGUAAGACAGAGGUGGCGAGCGUUGUUCGGAAUUACUGGGCUUAAAGGGCGCGUAGGCGGUGGUGUAAGUCUGGGGUGGAAUGCUACAGCUCAACUGUAGAGCUGCCUUGGAAACUGCAUUACUUGAGUCGGUGAGGGGAAGGCGGAAUUCCUGGUGUAGCGGUGAAAUGCGUAGAUAUCAGGAGGAAGGUCUGUGGCGAAGGCGGCCUUCUGGCACUUGACUGACGCUGAGAUGCGAAAGCCAGGGUAGCGAACGGGAUUAGAUACCCUGGUAGUCC
rnacentral:rRNA from 1 species